GACGAACGCUGGCGGCGUGCCUAAUACAUGCAAGUCGAGCGGAGCGGCGGACGGGUGAGUAAUGCCUAGGAAUCUGCCUGGUAGUGGUGGCUCACGUCCGGAAACGGGCGCUAAUACCGCAUACUAGCGGGCCAGCCUGGGUCGGAUUAGCUAGAUGGGGUGGUAAAGGCCUACAAAGGCGACGAUCCGUAACUGGGUUGAGAGGAUGAUCAGUCACACGGGAACUGAGACACGGGCCAGACUCCUACGGGAGGCAGCAGUGGGGAAUAUUGGACAAGGGGCGAAAGCCUGAUCCAGCCAUGCCGCGUGUGUGAAGAAGGUCUUCGGAUUGUAAAGCACUUUAAGUUGGGAGGCGGUACCAACAGAAUAAGCACCGGCUAACUUCGUGCCAGCAGCCGCGGUAAUAC
rnacentral:rRNA from 1 species